rnacentral:lncRNA from 1 species
CCACCGUCCACGGCAGAUCUCGACUUGCGAACAUCAAUCAGCCGUGAUAACAUUCCACACUUAAGCAAUUUACUCACAAACGCUCGGAUACUUCUAGUCAGCUAGUAGCCAUAGAAAGCACUCACUAGUCACUACUCACAGCAACCAUUAAAACGACAAAGAUGCAGUGCAGAUAGGGAAACAAAACGACAAUAUUUACAUGGCAACCCUAGUUGACCGACACCUCAGCGAUGCUUGCUUCUGGUUUCUCCACUGUAAAGCCUGCAAUGAUCACAUGCAACCCACCUCAUUUUAAAAUCAAAACCAAAUAGUCAGGGUUGGAAAAUGAAAUUCUAGAAUUGUAGAUCUUUGCCAUCUGAUGAGAAAAGUAAAUAGAUCUAAAGGCUUGAAUCCACUGAAGCACAAAUUAGCGUUCGACAAAAAUACCAGACACUCGAGACUCGCAUGCAUGCAAAAAGAAGAUGAAGAUCUAUUCCCAUGCGCCACUAUAACACCUGAAAAUAUCUCGAGAUGUAUAGUACAGAGCCAAAGAUCCUUCUCAUCUCGUGUGUGCUUGCAAAGAAAAGCAAAGAGAAAAGAAAAACUAAAAAGAAAAAGAAGUCAAGAACCCAUCCACCUCUUUUUUUUUCCCAUCCAGGUUAACCAAACAUGCAUAGCUCUGAAAGCUGAUAUGAAACUAUGGAGGAUCAAUUUAUAUACCAGUCAUAGACAGUGGGGGAGUUAGGCUGUGGCUUGUCGAAGAGCUGAGCACCGAGACCCUUAGUGGCAAGGUUGCUACCAGGGUGGAAAACGCUCCUCCAUACGUUGUCCUUGCGAACCGAAGCCGGAGUUGUGGGCGUCACCGGUGUGGUAGGUGUCCCAGGACUUGCUGGCAUGGAUAUGGACCUCUGGAACUUGCUCGUCUCUCCUCCCCCACCUACAGAAAUCAAAGGAAAAUAUCAUCCAUGAAUACAAGAUAAACUAUUUACUUCUAAUUGAUGGUUAAAGACUUGGGUUUUGUCAGCUCUAGUGAUACCUAUGGUCAGGGGCUUGGUGCUGAUCUUUCUGAGCUUGCCAAGGCCACGAUCGGGCUGAGGCCCGGCAACGACGUCAUCCCACAUCUUGUCGAGCAACAUCUUUCUUCCUCCUUUUUUAGCUUGCUGAGGCCUGAGUGAGGGUUUCAGUAAGGUGCCUGGACCAGAUUAUAUAGAGAGUAUGAGAGCGGGUCUCAAAUAUCUAUUAUUGAUGGGAAGUUUCCAGACAGGAUUUUCCUACUUCCAGGCACGAUUUUCUCGGGUAUAAUAACAAAAUAAAGGAUUGAUGGAAUAAUGGAAAUUAUUCACUUAUACAUCCUCAAAUAUUAUCGUUCUAUAAUACAUGCGAUUUAAGAC